rnacentral:rRNA from 1 species
CGCGCAGGCGGCUUUUCAAGCCAGGCGUGAAAGCCCCGGGCUUAACCUGGGAACUGCGUCUGGGACUGAGAGGCUAGAGUUCGGGAGAGGAGAGUGGAAUUCCCAGUGUAGAGGUGAAAUUCGUAGAUAUUGGGAAGAACACCGGUGGCGAAGGCGGCUCUCUGGACCGAGACUGACGCUGAGGCGCGAAAGCGUGGGGAGCAAACA